UAUUGAUCAUAUUGGCAUUGUAAUUGGUAGGCUAUUUAUAUGGCUCCUCAGUGGCGCAGCGGUCUAAGGCACUGCAUUUCAGGCUGUAUCACAACCGGCCGUGAUUGGGAGUCCCAUAGGGCGGUGCACAAUUGGCCCAGCGUCAUCUUGGUUAGGUUUUGGCCGGGUAGGCCGUUAUUAUUAAUAAUAUUUUUUCUUAACUGACAUGCCUAGUUCAAUUUUUAAUUAAAAAAAUAAUAAUAUAAGUAGCCACAAAACCAAUAAUAGGCCUAAUAGGCCUAAUGAUAAUAAUAUUUUAUAAUUUAUCAUAACACAAUUAUCGUUGUCGUAAUCAAAAACAAUCAUAGACUAUAAGACCCCAAUAUCCAUAAUCUCACUUGCUUAUAAUCAAAUAGCCUAACAUGCGUCCACUAAAUGGUUAACGUGGAAUUGAUGGUUUGAUGAAGGAGGUUUCCAGGCGGGAACAAGCAAUCUCGCUGAACCCCGGAGAGAGAGAGAGCACCCCCACGAAAACAAUGCCAAAUUGAGCAGUCCAUUGGGGAUUGAAGAGACACACUGACUCUCGCCUUUCUAACGCCAGUCAGGGAUGUCAGGCCCGAACAACGCAACAUAUCUGUGUUUUUCCUCCUCUGUCAAAUAGCGUAGCGGCGGGGGCCUGUGCCAAUGAUACUCAGGUCGGCUCUGGAUAGACACUCAGGGGUUCUGUACGCCACUUGCAUCGUAAUGCUCUCUCCUUUUCACACUGAAGCAAGACCCACUGGGCGUGAACCGGGUGCACUACAUUUCUACAUGAGCAAAUACCUUGGAAGUCGUCAGCCACUCAGCCUUGUUAAAAUACUCCAAACCAGAAGGUGUCAGUAGCGUUGUUUGGCAAUGCAUAUCCGUGAGUAUUACUUAUUGUCUAGAUUCCUUUCUAUCUGUGCUAAUGUUCCUAUUUUGUAGAAAGCCCUUGUUGAUACUAGCCAGAUGUCUACAGCUAGAUACUACCUAGCAAGAUGACGAAGAAACUAUUUAAUUCACUCUCCAUAAUCCCAUACGGCAGUGCCAGCCCAUAGCCAAAUGUUUAGCUAGCUGGCUAAUGUUAGCAUAUUCACUAGCUAGCAAAACAUAGCUAGCUAAGGACACUGCUAAGGACACUGCCUACAUUGGCUCCAUCUUGUGGGGGUUUGUGCUCUCUGAUUUGCUCAAGUCAAGUUGUUGGCCACUGACGAGCAUUGUGAUUCUACAAGUAGAGUCGGUAGGUUUGUCGGCACCUGGUCGGCACGCAGCAGGUACCGCUUUUGUUCUGGCAAGAGAAGGAAGGGCCUCCUACUGUGAUAAUAAACUGUAGGCAGCCUAUCGGCAGUGAGAUUCUCGGUGUGUUUCAUGCUUUAGAGAGUGUGUGUUGAAAGAGGAAAAUAAAAUACUCUUUCCCACAGAGCUCUUCUGCCCUUCCCAGCUGCCCUUCAUGGUGUAAUGUUAAUUAGCUCAUUCAUAUUCACAGUUUUAGUGCACAUAGACAGUGAUGUCAUAGUGAUGUCACUAAGCAGUCAAAAGGCGUGUUCCUAUGCUUAAACGUUGCUGAUGCCUGUCAGAUCUUACAAUGCCUUCAUAAGUAUUUGAAGUAUCAGCUAACCACAUCAUAGAGUAUCUUAUAUCAAUUUGUCAGUCGAUGACACAGUCGAUGACGUGGCACGCAACCAUUGGUUGUUGCAUCACCUCGCCUUAGCUGUGGAACACGUCCAAAGUCAUAGGGUCAAUAAAGGUGUGUGUCAAUCAGAGAUGUAUGAACACUGUAAUUCAGUCUCUCUCUCUCUCUCUCUCUCUCUCUCUCUCUCUCUCUCUCUCUCUCUCUCUCUCUCUCUCUCUCUCUCUCUCAAAAUAGUUUGACAACACUUUGAGGAAUGAGGAAGAGGAGGAGGAAGACAGGGUGAAAGAACUAGAUUGAUACGUAACGCUCUGUUUUUUAAAUAGAUAGAAAUCUAUCACUCUUCCUCCUUCUCCUCCUUCUCCUGUUCUGAUUGGGAGUGUGUCC
rnacentral:lncRNA from 13 species